ensembl:lncRNA
UAGCAUCUCUGCUGGAAGAAAAUGGCAACACAAGCAUAUACAGCAGACUAAAACGCACGCCCACUUUUCAGUGGCUAGCAGCCAGCUUAACGCAGUCGGGCUGCUGGUGGAAAGCUGCCUGAGAUGCAAAUUAGCAUAUGCAAAUUGAGAUCAGGAGAAAAGCGGCAAAAGCUGGUGGGCCGCUGGCUGUACGACAUUUUAGCCUUGCUCACUGGGGACUACUGAGGAGGUUACAGCCCUCAGAGUAGAGGGGGGCAAAUGAAACCCUCUUCACUGGGAAGAGGAAUUCAUCAAAAACUGGAUGGGAAGCCUUCGUGAAUCAGGCAGAGUGAGAUAUCUCUCACUUCUGGCAGCUGCUGCCCUCUCCCUCAGCUCUUCCCUUUCUAGAGCCUGCCUCUCUCCUCUUCCUUCUCAGCCUGUAUUUUGAGGAAGUUGAGGAGUUCACCUGCCCACUUUUUCUCUGCUGGCCUGGCUCUCUCCCUGGCAGGGGCAGAGGAGGAGGCACCUGCAGUGGAUGUAAUGUGUGCUGCAACUACCAUGGGUGGAUUAAGAGUGCUGCCCCCGGAGUGCUGCAUCCAUUGUGGCGUACCACUGCCAGGAGGCAGCAGUGACUCCUCCUGCCUCCACCCAUUUCCCCGAUGGUGGGUCCCUCAGCUCCUUAAGGCAAAGAUUCAACUUUAAGUUGCAGAGUUGCAAGGAACUUAGACAUGUGUAUAUCAUUUUAAAUAUGAAAUCAUGAGGAUUUUGCAUUAAACAAAAAAUCGAAUGAAAGCACUCAUCUUGUCACAAAUUGCCUGAUCUGUGGAAGUGCCAACAAACAACUGGUUUUGGGAACUGUAUAACACCGUAAUAAGCAUCAUCACAUCUGACUUUACAAUUGUUGAGGGAGAAGCUAUUGCAGUAAAUAAGCAUAACUUUUUUCAAUUGUUGUAAAUUACCUUGUUGGUUUUUUCAAUUGUUCCGCUUUUAUUUUUAUUUUUUUUGCUUGUUUGGCUCUAAUAAGGGAACUCUGCCUGAUUCACAAAUAAUGUACUGAUAAUACUAAACACAGUGAGUUCAAUGGUUGAAUGUCAUUGCUAUACUGGGUUAUUUGUGGUCCAAGAUUAUUUAAAUCUUUUAGAACUGUUCUGAUUCAGCCUGUGGAAUCGGAAACAAGCACUUGCCAAUAGCAAUAGUAAGGCAUUUACUUUAUGAGAUGGUUGGGGUUUCCGUUAAUGUUUUCAACUUAAGCAAAAUGGAUUGGUGCCAACAUGAUGUAUCCUUUCCAUCCUCUGUCUCAUUCUGGACCUCUGGAUUAGAUGCCUUUGCUCAGCUGCCCCAUAUAUAUAGUGGAUGUAAUAUAUGCAGUGGACGUAAUAUUACAUCUAAUCGGUUGUCUUGUCUAUCUUUUACAUCUGCUUUUUUCUGCUGGUAGCUCGUUAAUGUGCUUGUGAAAUUCACGAGGUACCAGCGGGAAAAACCUAAGCAAAAAAAUAGGCAACUGAUUGAAAAGAUAGGCUAAAUAGAUAUGCAGUUUCUUAUUGAUAACGUAUUUGUGCAUGCACACAAUCAAUACGUGAGGCCCUUGAUUUCUU